CUGCCGCCCGCCCGGGGUGUGGAGCCCGGCCGCUGCUCGCGGGCUGAGUGUCUGUCGCUGCUGCCGCCUCCACCCAGCCUCCGCCAUGGACCUCUUCGGGGACCUGCCGGAGCCCGAGCGCUCGCCGCGCCCGGCUGCCGGGAAAGAAGCUCAGAAAGGACCCCUGCUCUUUGAUGACCUCCCUCCGGCCAGCAGUACUGACUCAGGUACAGUCUUCAGGCUCUCCCAGGUGUGUGUCAACGUCUCUACUCAUCCUGGGAUUGUAGUUGUCUCAAUCUUUUUCCCUUUCCCCCAUUUUCAACACACAGAUGUUUUAGGUGUUGGACUGUCUUUAAGUUUUGAAUCCAUGGCAUCAGGUAAGGCAGAAAAAUCUGCUAGUCGCUAGCCCUGAGAAGUACUGCGAGGAAAUGUGGAGCAGUUUUCUCUGGUUCAUUUGAGUAUUUAUUUUACUACCUGAAGUACAAUUUAACUUUUUAAGGCAGAUUUUUAUUUCCUUUGAAAUAAUAGGACUUUAAAAUAGGUUCAAGAUAUUAUUCAUUGCAGUAUGAGUUGCCACUGGAUUGACGCAAAGUUUUGAGUUUAUUUCAGUAACCUACAUAGGUGUCCUGGUGGGAUGGAUUCUGAAACUUAAGCCUUACAUAUUUUUUGUGGGCUCACUAAGUGUUCUGCUGUGUUUCAGGAUCAGGGGGACCUUUGCUUUUUGAUGAUCUCCCACCCGCUAGCAGUGGCGAUUCAGGUUCUCUUGCCACAUCAAUAUCCCAGAUGGUAAAGACUGAAGGGAAAGGAGCAAAGAGAAAAACCUCCGAGGAAGAGAAGAAUGGCAGUGAAGAGCUUGUGGAAAAGAAACCUCUUCGGUGAUCUUUGGUCUGAAGGGCUAUGUGGCUGAGCGGAAGGGUGAGAGGGAGGAGAUGCAGGAUGCCCACGUCAUUCUGAACGACAUCACCGAGGAGUGUAGGCCCCCAUCGUCCCUCAUUACUCGGGUUUCAUAUUUUGCUGUUUUUGAUGGACAUGGAGGAAUUCGAGCCUCAAAAUUUGCUGCACAGAAUUUGCAUCAAAACUUAAUCAGAAAAUUUCCUAAAGGAGAUGUAAUCAGUGUAGAGAAAACCGUGAAGAGAUGCCUUUUGGACACUUUCAAGCAUACUGAUGAAGAGUUCCUUAAACAAGCUUCCAGCCAGAAGCCUGCCUGGAAAGAUGGGUCCACUGCCACGUGUGUUCUGGCUGUAGACAACAUUCUUUAUAUUGCCAACCUCGGAGAUAGUCGGGCAAUCUUGUGUCGUUAUAAUGAGGAGAGUCAAAAACAUGCAGCCUUAAGCCUCAGCAAAGAGCAUAAUCCAACUCAGUAUGAAGAGCGGAUGAGGAUACAGAAGGCUGGAGGAAACGUCAGGGAUGGGCGUGUUUUGGGCGUGCUAGAGGUGUCACGCUCCAUUGGGGACGGGCAGUACAAGCGCUGCGGUGUCACCUCUGUGCCCGACAUCAGACGCUGCCAGCUGACCCCCAAUGACAGGUUCAUUUUGUUGGCCUGUGAUGGGCUCUUCAAGGUCUUUACCCCAGAAGAAGCCGUGAACUUCAUCUUGUCCUGUCUCGAGGAUGAAAAGAUCCAGACCCGGGAAGGGAAGUCCGCAGCCGACGCUCGCUACGAAGCAGCCUGCAACAGGCUGGCCAACAAGGCGGUGCAGCGGGGCUCAGCCGACAACGUCACUGUGAUGGUGGUGCGGAUAGGGCACUGAGGGGUGGCGCGCGGCCAGGAGCACGCAUGGUAUUGACUUAAAAGGUUCAUUUUGUGUGUGUGCACAUUGUGUGUUUUGUGUACUCCUGUGGGACUCCCAUGGUUGUAAAUAAAGGUUUCUCUUUUUUUUUCCUA
rnacentral:sRNA from 1 species